AUGUCAAGAUAAAGGAAUAUUAAUCCUUUACUUUUCUUUCCAACUGAAAGUGCUUUACAACCCGCAGGCCUUCUUCACACACGCGGUAUUGCUGGAUCAGGCUUUCGCCCAUUGUCCAAUAUUCCUU
rnacentral:rRNA from 1 species